AUUGAACGCUGGCGGCAGGCCUAACACAUGCAAGUCGAGCGGAUGAAGGGAGCUUGCUCCUGGAUUCAGCGGCGGACGGGUGAGUAAUGCCUAUGAAUCUGCCUGGUAGUUGGGUAUAACGUCCGUAAACGGGCGCUAAUACCGCAUACGUCCUGAUGGAGAAAGUUGGUGUUCUUCGGACCUCACGCUAUCAUAUGAGCCUAGGUCGUAUUAGAUAGUUGGUGGGGUAAAGGCCUACCAAGGCUACGAUCCGUAACUGGUCUGAGAGGAUGAUCAGUCAAACGGGAAGUGAGACACGGUCAAGAGUCCUACGGGAGGCAGCAGUGGGGAAUAUUGGACAAUGGGGGAAAGCAUGAUCCAGCAAUGCCGCGUGUGUGAAGAAGGUCUUCGGAUUGUAAAGAACUUUAAGUUGGGAGGAAGGGAAGUAAGUUAAUACCUUGCUGUUUUGACGUUACCAACAGAAUAAGCACCGGCUAACUUCGUG
rnacentral:rRNA from 1 species